CGAACGCCGCGUGAGCGAAGAAGGUUUCGGAUCGUAAAGCUCUGUUGUGAGGGAAGAACAAGUACGGAGUAACUGUCCGUACCUUGACGGUACCUCAUUAGAAAGCCACGGCUAACUACGUGCCAGCAGCCGCGGUAAUACGUAGGUGGCAAGCGUUGUCCGGAAUUAUUGGGCGUAAAGCGCGCGCAGGCGGUCCUUUAAGUCUGAUGUGAAAGCCCAUGGCUCAACCGUGGAAGGUCAUUGGAAACUGGAGGACUUGAGUACAGAAGAGGAAAGCGGAAUUCCACGUGUAGCGGUGAAAUGCGUAGAGAUGUGGAGGAACACCAGUGGCGAAGGCGGCUUUCUGGUCUGUAACUGACGCUGAGGCGCGAAAGCGUGGGGAGCAAACAGGAUUAGAUACCCUGGUAGUCCACGCCGUAAACGAUGAGUGCUAAGUGUUAGGGGGUUUCCGCCCCUUAGUGCUGCAGCUAACGCAUUAAGCACUCCGCCUGGGGAGUACGGCCGCAAGGCUG
rnacentral:rRNA from 1 species